rnacentral:rRNA from 1 species
UACGGGGGGGAGCAAGCGUUGUUCGGAUUUACUGGGCGUAAAGGGCGCGUAGGCGGCCUCUGCAAGUCGACUGUGAAAUCUCCGGGCUUAACCCGGAAAGGUCAGCCGAUACUGCAGGGCUAGAGUGCAGAAGGGGCAACUGGAAUUCUCGGUGUAGCGGUGAAAUGCGUAGAUAUCGAGAGGAACACCUGCGGCGAAGGCGGGUUGCUGGGCUGACACUGACGCUGACAGCGCGAAAGCUAGGGGAGCGAACGGG